ACAUCUGGGCACCCACCUCCGCGGGCUGCGGCCGGGAGGUGAUGCGCUCCUCAGUGGCUGCAGGGACCCGCAGGAGCUGCCACCGCCGCCGCCACCAGCAGCACCGCCGCCACCUCGUCCAGGAGCAGCGAGGGAAGGACGGAGCAGCCCUCCCUCUGGAGCCGGGGCUCGCUGGGGUGACCGUUCAGCAGUGCCGUGCUGCCAGAAAUGCUCGCUGAGCCCGUGCAAGGGAGAAAUCUUACCAGAACUGCUGAGAUUACCCCAGAAAGACCCUUUGCAGACUGACUCCGCAUCCUCAGAGCUGAUCUGCUCGGGGCCUACCAAAGACACUAACGACGUCGAAAGUAGCUUACUUUAAGAGAAAAUAUGCAGAAGAAGAACAUUUACAUCAGGAUUACCAUGAGUAUUGUCCAAAACACCUGAUACUACCGGAGGACCGGACUUGUAUCCUAAAACUGUCUCUCCAGAAACUCCGCUUCCUGGACGACCCCGAAGCCUAUCUCCGCAGGUCUGUAUUAAUUAACAAUCUGUUGAGGAAGAUUCACCUAGAGACAGAGAGGGAGAGCUAUGAAUACUUUAAGGAGGCUCCGUGCUAUAGGACUGCCUACUCUGACGCACGAAAACGGCUGAAGCUGAUGGUGCAGGAGUGCUGUUCCCAGUCGCUCUAUUAUGAAGAGCUGCACUCGUAUCGCAUCGUGCCUUACUCUGCAGAGAACGCCGUCUACGGGAUGGGCUACACGGGCAGCCACCUGGAGCAAAAUUCUCAGUUGCUUAUUUAUAAAAUGAAUUAAAGUAGCUGUUAGACCCACUGAUGUUUGUUUCUGAAUGCUUGGACUGCUUGUUGAGGUGUUGAGAUGAGGCACUAAUUGCAGAUGUGUUUGCAAUGGAGGCGGAGGCCAGGGAGCCGAGUGGAAGGUGCUUUGGAAAAUGCUCUGCAGUCCCCGCUGUUAACCCCCGGUGUGAAGCACCUUGCUGUACACACAGAGAGGUGCAAUACAGAGGUCCUAAACCUGCAGAGACUGCGUGCAAGGCGGUUUGUGGAAACAAAGCUGCGCUUAAAGUUACCUGUGUGUAGAUACGGAUGCUCCAAAUCACUCCCGCAGUUAAAUUACACCAUCCCCGGUGCAAGGGGAGCCCCUGAAGCAGUGGAGUAGUCUAACAGUGAGGAGUAAAACACAAGUUAUCUGCUGUAAAAGUGUAGACAGAAAGUUUCUUUGAGAAUUGCUUUGACCAUGAAGGAGUCAGUGCCAAAGGAAUCAGUCUUUAGUUUAGGAUUUUCAGAGACUGAACUCGCUUGCUACUUACAGACACUCUAUACUGAGAUUUGCAAGGGUUUGUGGGUUGGUUUUUUUUUAAAAAUAAUUGCAUUCACUUUUUACUUAUAUUAUCUCUUAGCUGGUAUCUACUUUGCUAUUUUAAUACAAACCAGAAUGACUCACAGGAAAGAUUGUUUCUUCAGCCCAUCAUCAGUGUUCCCUUAACUUCAUUUGCCUCUUUCCCUAGCUGUUUCCCCAAAUACUUCUUUGCAUGCUAAUUUGCUGUGUGGCCCGAGGUUCACACUGGUGCUAGGGAAUAGACAGCAAUUUCUUUUUAUGUGGACUAUAAAAGGCAGAAAAACAAUGACAACUCUCAUAGACAGAGAAUGAAUGUAUCUGACAGAUGAUGGUAAGACCUCAGAGGCUCUCCUGAUGAAACUGCUCAGCAUUAGUAAUAAUGUUUCAGGUUAAGUGAAAUGUCUAAUUUCAAUCUGGGAAUUAAUUUUAAAAUAUGUAAAUAUAUAUAUUUCACAAGCUAUGGCAUGUGGGAUGUUCAGCAAAUGGAAUGACUACAAGUGGAAAGUUUCAUAGCUGCCAAAGCUACGUCAUGAAAAUACCAAAGAGUAACAUUAGGGAAAAGAUGAUGCUCCAGCAAUGGGGUCAGAAGCAGAGAUUGCACUAUAACCUGGGGGAAUGUGAUUAACGAGCCUGUAAAUUAGCUGUUAGGGACCUGCAUCCCAGAACUGCUGAACAAACACAAGAUGGUUCAAAGCCUGUCAAAGUCCUACAGGUCUGCUGGCUUUGCCUCGCUGGCUAUCACCACUUUAAAGCUUUAAAACAAAGUAAAUAAUAGCGCACACUCAGCUGGAGGCAGAUAUAUAUAUAUACAUAUAUAUACAUAUAUAUCUAAGAACAUAAUUUUUUAUUUGUUUUGAAAGGCUUUGCUCUUGCAGAUGUGGCUGAUGCUAUUUCUGAAGCAUUCUAUAGUGUGAACAAAUACCGUGGCUUGCCAGGAAUGUGCUUUUUGUGUCAGAUUCCUCCUGUCACCCUGCUCAGAGCGCCCUGGUCGUGUGUGUCGCACAUAUCGUCACAGCUCCCAGGCACGUGUUAGCGCUGGAGAAAAGGCAGAAAGGCAAAAGCAAAAAGGUGUGAAGAACAAAGUUAACUCUGGUAUCAGUAGUUAGAAGUCAGUAGAGGUUUAGGAGACAGAAGGAAGCAGUAAAAUCCAGUUUUGUGUUUUUUUUUUUUUAAUUUGAAAAAAGAAAUUAAUGUCAGCAGUGUAAUUCAAAACAAGGAUAACCUGCAAACUGGAGAAUAUAAACAUCUCAGAUACUGUGGGAAGGCUGAAAAAACAGGGCAGUGCUGUUUGGGAGGUGCUGUUAGUCAUUAUGACUGUUCAGAUCUCUGUUUUUGCUUUGAGACAAGUCAUAUUUACUUCUCUCUUAGAAAAGUGUCUUUCAAUCCUUAGCCAGUGCAGCUCAGCCUCAGAGCUUCCUGGCUGUGCAUGGUUUGAUUCCUGCUCUCCCUGGGCUUGCACCAGCCCAAAAUCAUGUAGCUGGUGCAGCUGCAUGAUUUGAGAAAUGGUUUCAAUGUAGUUUGAGAAAUUUCCAGUGGAAAGGGGCCAUGUCCACUUCAACAGGGGGCUGGUGGAGCCCAGGCUGCUGAUCAGGUCCACAGGACAGCCCCAGUGUGACCAGUAAGAGCUGGCAGAGAAGCCCAUUUGCUGUUGUGAGAGGUGCCAUUAUCCCGCAGGAGCCCUCUGGCCUCUGCGGCACCGGGAACGCUUCGUGCCAACCCAGGGCUGGGAGAAUGGUGAAGGAAAAUUGCUCCUGUCUUCUGAUCUUUCAAACCAUGUAAUUUUCCACUCUGAAGUGGUUUGAUUUAUGCUUUUUUUUUUUCCCUCUUCAUGUCGGUUUUCAUCUGAUUUCAUAACAAUCUAGCAUGUACAGGAAAUGCUUAAAUGCUUCUUUUCUCUCGCUGACUGACUUUUUAUAUUCAUAGGAUGGUUCUGGCUUCAAUAAACAAAUCUUUUAACUUAGAAUUAGAAAUGUUUCAAUGAAAUGAAAAAGCUCAGUAGGAUCAAAGUCUUUAACCUCACCUGAACAAAAAAACAUUGGCCCUGUCAGAUUCACCUUUGAAGAGGUUUUGUGCCUGCUGAAAGAGGAAGAUACUUUCUUGCCUAUUGAAAGCUUCUCUGUGAAGGCGUUGUGAUAACUGAACAGAUAUAACAGACAAAAAUCUGCAUCAGGUCACAAAACUCCUUGGGCUACCUAGGAAAGAGGAUGAUAAUUUAGUCAUGUUUUUCUCAUGUGCUGUCUUCUUGAAGAAAACAACAUUGUCUCUUUUUUUAAUUUUCACUUGCUCCAGGAGUUGUUAAAAUGGAUUAUUUCUUUCUAUAGAACAAAUUGAGUUUUUUAUGGAUGACUUUUUGAUAUGGAAUUGAAUCAAAGGUUCGCUAUUCUAUAUGCUUUUAGUCUGCUUCAGUUUUUACUGCUUCUGCUUUGCCCAGCAUUGGUGCUGCUGAAAAGUGGGUCUGAAAAUUUUGAUUUGAAUGCUUAAAAAUAGUUUAUGGGGUGAUAAAGAAGUACAAAUGUGCAAUAACAUUGCAAGUGACUCCCGAAAUAUUUGACACCUUUUGAAUUUUAUACUUACAUUGAUUUUAACAUUUAGUUGCCAAGUUACUGGGUACCAGCAUUUUAAUACAGCUACAUACAGUGAUUUUUCUUUUUUGGGUUUGUAGCUACAGUUCAGCUCUUCUGGCUUCUGAUGUGAGAAUCUGUCUGUAGGUGGUCAACUUUCACUGAGAUAGAUUUUUAUAUAUAUAUAUAUAUAUAUGUUCUAUUAUGACUGCAUUAGGAACUCCUACAUAUGGGCUAUGUUUGCACUGGAUGUAAAGAAAGUCCUUGCUUCCCUUUGACUCAGUUGCCUUGGAGAUAGAAUAUUCAUCAGAGAGAAUAUAGAUGAGCUGGGUAAGCAGGACAGACUUGGUGAGGAGAGCUGAUCAUUUUGAAAAUGACUGGCUUAGGACAAUUCAUUUUCACCUGGGAAUAGCAGCACACUUGGCUGUAAUUAGUGUCUCCAUGAGUUGAGUUUUCUUUGUGCUGCUUUUCUGGCUGGACAUGCUGGUGAAGGGUGCACGAGGUACCUUUGUGGGGGCCACAGUGUGGGUGUGGAUGGGGUCUGGUGCAGAAUCCCAACACUGAGUUUGAGCAACCUGCUCUAGUGCAGGUGUGUCCCCACCCAUGGCAGGAGGGUUGGAACCAGACGGUCUUUAAGGUCUCUUCCAACUCGAACCAUUCCAUGACCCCAUGAUUCUGUGACAUUAGGGCCCUGAUCCUGUAAAUGCUUGGGUUAUCACCUGAUUUCCUCACUCUGGAGCCCGAGAGGCUCCUCGUGUGCUUGAUGCUCAGCAUGUGCAUGAGCUUGUGUGGGGCUGGGGCUGCAGAUCGCCCUCAAUCGCCGCCUUAUCGGUGACAGUGACCCCCGAGCUGCUGCUUCAGCUCUUCAAUACAUUUCUCUUGCACUGUAAAUUGAACUUCUGUUUUCCAAUGAAUGUGUGGAGUAUAUGGACUAUUGUGCCUUAAAGUCCCAUCCUCGUAUGAGCCUUUGUAAAUGUUCUGUAAAUCCGCAAACCGUCUAUCGCUGGUAUCUCUGUGCACUCUCUACAGAUCUGAUUUGGUACUUGGCAGGACCUUGGGAAACCCAACCAUGACCUCAGUUUGCCAUGACCACGAGAGGGGAUUUGCCAAUUCCCUCUUUUCUUUUUUCAGAUUGCUUUCCUCUCCAACAUUCAUGAAAUUCUGUUUGUCUGGUUUCUGCCAUAGUUGGGCUCUGGGCCACCUGCAGUACCAGGAGCUCCUCGCAGGAACUCUGAAAGUUAUAAAAAAGUUGUCUCCAGAUUUUAAACACCACCUGUAGAACACUCCCAGGAGGGAAUCACAGCUGCAUAUGACAACUGUGGCAGGUGUUGUCAAGUAUAUCAUCAUAUAUUUGACACAAUUGACAAAGCAGAGAAAGGAACACCUAUUUCUAUUGAAAUGCAUGAGCCUGCAUUAUGUUAAAUACAUGGUGAUUAUGCACCAAAUAAUUGGAAUAAUACCUACUGGUUCUGUAAAAAAAAAGCCUUUUAAUGUUUAAAAUUACCUGGGACCUGACUGAAGGUUUUUAUGAAAUUGUUUUCUAAAGUGAAUAGUAGAAAAAAUGUAUAUGUAUUUUAAAUAUACGUAUGAUGUGCAUGUUAUUAAUAAAGAUCUAUUUCUAUUGAA